rnacentral:rRNA from 1 species
UACGGGGGGGGCAAGCGUUGUUCGGAAUUACUGGGCGUAAAGGGUUUGUAGGUGGCUUGCUAAGUCAGACGUGAAAUCCCUCAGCUUAACUGAGGAACUGCGUCUGAGACUGGCAAGCUUGAGUGCAGGAGAGGAACGCGGAAUUCCAGGUGUAGCGGUGAAAUGCGUAGAUAUCUGGAGGAACACCGGUGGCGAAGGCGGCGUUCUGGACUGUAACUGACACUGAUGAACGAAGGCCAGGGGAGCAAACAGG